GUGACAGCCGCCGCGGUAAGACAGAGGAUGCAAACGUUGCUCGGAGUUACUGGGCGUAAAGCGCGUGUAGGCGGUUCCGCGAGUCGGGUGUGAAAGCCCGGGGCUCAACCCCGGAAGGGCACUCGAUACUACGGAGCUGGAGUACUGAAGAGGAGAGCGGAAUUCCCGGUGUAGAGGUGAAAUUCGUAGAUAUCGGGAGGAACACCAGUGGCGAAGGCGGCUCUCUGGGCAGAUACUGACGCUGAGACGCGAAAGCGUGGGGAGCAAACAGGAUUAGAAACCCUAGUAGUCC
rnacentral:rRNA from 1 species